CCACAAGGGGUGAAGCCUGCGGUUCAAUUGGAGUCAACGCCAGGAAACUUACCAGGAGAGACAGCAGGUUGAGGGUCAAGCUGAAGACUUUACCUGACGAGCUGAGAGGAGGUGCAUGGCCGUCGCCAGCUCGUGCCGUGAGGCGUCCUGUUAAGUCAGGCAACGAGCGAGACCCCUGUUGGUAAUUGCUAACUGUUCAGAGAUGGAUAGAGGCUAGUUACCAAGACUGCCGCUGCUAAAGCGGAGGAAGGAGGGGGCCACGGCAGGUCAGUAUGCCCCGAAACUCCUGGGCCACACGCGGGCUGCAAUGGUAAGGACAAUCGGUCCCAACCUCGAAAGAGGGAGGCAAUCCACAAACCUUACCCCAGUUGUGAUUGAGGGUUGAAACCCGCCCUCAUGAAUAUGGAAUCCCUAGUAACCGCGUGUCAUCACCGCGCGGUGAAUACGUCCCUGCUCCUUGU
rnacentral:rRNA from 1 species